UGGAUAGAUUAAUGUAUUCACGACGUGAAAUAGAGGAUUACACUGUUUUUAAAACGGAAAGUGAAUCAAUUAACAUAUAGACUCCU
rnacentral:pre_miRNA from 1 species